AAAUCCCAUCUAGGAAAGAUUUAGUCAAAUCACUAGUAGCGAGUCUUGGAUUUAUUGCAGUAAUGUAAUGAAUUAAGCGUAGACAGGUAGGUAGCAGGGUUAGUAUUGAGCUACGAAAAUAGUGCAAAUAUCAAGAGGUUGACAGUGUCGCGCAAACUGGAAAACACUAUCAUGCAAAACGAUAUGACGAGUUUUGUAUGACUCUUGCGUAGUCAAAGACC
rnacentral:ncRNA from 1 species